AUGCAGACAGCCCAGUCAGGUGUCAUGACCUCCGUGUGUCAGUGUCUCCCAGCUGUGCUCCUGUCAACAAGUGGUGGUGAACGACAGGACCUGAUUAUUCUUAGAAAUGCAUUCGACCUGCUUCUGCCAAAGCUUGCCAGAGUGAUCUCUCGGCUUGCCAACUUUGCUAAGGAACGAGCUGAUCUACCCACAUUAGGUUUCACACAUUUUCAGCCUGCUCAGCUGACCACAGUUGGGAAACGUUGCUGUCUUUGGAUUCAGGAUCUUUGCAUUGAUCUCCAGAACUUAAAGCGUGUCCAGGAUGACCUGCGCUUCCGGGGAGUGAAGGGCACCACUGGUACUCAGGCCAGCUUCUUGCAGCUCUUUGAAGGUAGAACAGCUUGACAAGAUGGUGACAGAAAAGGCAGGAUUUAAGAGAGACAGAGUCUCACUUUAUGGCCCUCGGAGUUUCAUUAUCACAGGCCAAACCUAUACACGAAAAGUAGAUAUCGAAGUUCUGUCUGUGCUGGCUAGCUUGGGGGCAUCAGUGCAUAAGAUUUGCACUGACAUACGGCUUCUGGCAAACCUCAAGGAGAUGGAGGAACCCUUUGAAAAACAGCAGAUUGGCUCAAGCGCGAUGCCAUAUAAGCGGAACCCCAUGCGCUCAGAACGGUGCUGCAGCCUUGCCCGUCACCUGAUGACCCUUGUCAUGGACCCACUGCAGACAGCAUCUGUGCAGUGGUUUGAACGCACACUGGAUGAUAGUGCCAACCGACGUAUCUGUUUGGCUGAGGCAUUUCUUACUGCAGAUACUAUAUUGAAUACUCUACAGAACAUUUCUGAAGGAUUUGUGGUGUACCCCAAAGUAAUUGAACGGCGCAUUCGGCAAGAGCUGCCUUUCAUGGCUACAGAGAAUAUCAUCAUGGCCAUGGUCAAAGCUGGGGGUAGCCGUCAGGAUUGCCAUGAGAAAAUCAGAGUGCUCUCUCAGCAGGCAGCUGCUGUGGUUAAGCAGGAGGGGGGUGACAAUGACCUCAUUGAGCGUAUCCAGGCCGAUGCCUACUUCAGUCCCAUUCAUGCCCAGUUGGACCGUUUACUGGACCCUUCUUCUUUUACUGGCUGUGCAGCCCAGCAGGUACAGAGAUUCUUGGAAGAGGAAGUCUAUCCCCUGUUAAAACCAUAUGAAAAUGUGAUGGAGGUGAAAGCAGAAUUAUGUCUAUAGUGCCAGAAGAGAAUUAACCAAAAACUCAUUGUU